rnacentral:lncRNA from 1 species
UUUGACCGCCGCCUCAUCCUCCUUCGAACGGCUUCUCUCCCUUUUAGCUUGUUGAGCAAGCCUCUGUCGAUCUUCAUCUUCGUAUACCGUUCCUUCGUCUCUCUCCGUCAACCGAGCGCCCACGCCGUGACACCAACGAAGCAACUGCUCUUGUUUUCUUUCCAUCUAUUUCUACGACUGAAAACCUCUGCCGCACGACUUCCUUCACGCCUGCAGCCACGCACGUCUCCACUACCAUUUCAUCCUCAUCACCCAUCCAUCUCCACCACCAUAUCAUCACCAUCUAUCAUCAUCCCAUCUUCCACCAUCACCCCACGUCCGUAGCUCAUGCCUCAAGUCAACCAUUGAAGCUUUAGUUGACUGAAGCAGCCCCAAAAUUCCACGAAGCAAGUCCACCGAAGAAACCCCCACGCGUCCGCUUCUUUUCCUUCGGCUGCCAGCACGUUCGCAAGAUUUUCCCAGGCGAUGACCGAAGCUCCCACGUUUCCUCGCGGCAUCAACGCCCUUGCUCCCUCGUCUUCAGCAAUUUGAUGACCACCAAGUCUUCCAGCUGCCGCGCACGAAGCAACCGAAGACUCACGCCACCACCGAAGCUUUCUGCUCUGUUUCGCUGCUUCUAUCUCCGUUCGGUCUUGUGAAGUCAAGCGAAGCAGUCGCGCCAGCGAAGACUCCAUCUUCGCCCACCGAAGCUGCUCCUUCACGCGUCCACGCCAGCUGCUUCCCUGUUCCAUCUUCGGCCACAUGCCUGCUCUCCACCAAUGUUGAUCUUUUCUCCUCAAGCCACCGAAACCCGCUCGAAGCCAGCAACAAAUUCGGCCCAGCUUGUUCAAUCACAGCAAGCCCAGUCCGUGAGCAAGCAUUUUUGCUCAGUCCAGCCCAGCGUUGGCCUCAGAUUUCAAGCCUUUCAGCCCAGUUCGGCCUUCUCUUCAGCAGUUCAGCCCAAGAUGGUUUAAUUCAAGUUACAGCCCAGUAAUUUGAGGCCCAAUUCAGCAGCCCAAUCUUGAAGCCCAAGCCCGUGAAGAAAGCCCAUUUGCAGUCAAGCCCAAGCCCAAGAGCGAAACCGGUCCGAAGCAAGAACAAAUCUCAGUUGAGUUGAGAUUUGUUGAUCCAAGCUUAAGGCCCGGUUCAAGCUCGCCGGUGUUGUCGAAAACCCGAUUGCGGCCGUCGUCGCGUCGCCGUCGCGGUGAUUCGAUCUCCGCUUUUACCAAGUGAGUUUUACUCACUAAUGCUUUCUUAGUUUGCUAAUUAUGCUUAGGGGUUGGUUAGAUUUAAUUAAGUGCAAUUAAGUGGUUAGAUUAGUCUAGAACAAUUAAAUUAGUGACUUAAUGAUGCAUGUUAGGUGGUUAGACUUAGGUAUUAGCAAGUAGAGACGUACUUCUAUUUAUUGAAUGCAUCUCGGGAUUUUUCCCAAUCCGUUCUGGCGUCCAAUUAGGCAUUAUGGGCCUAAAUUGGAUUUUUAGUAUUUAAUUAUUAAUUUUCGAAAUUAAUUUAAUAAAUUAUUUAUUUUCCGGAAAUUAUGCAAGGAUAGCCGACGACCGGAAUUUUAUGCUGAUGAUCGUGGUGCAGUCCGUUUAUUUAAUUGAGCUUUAUAUUGUGCUAAAUUGAAUUUAUUGUAUUUAUUUAUUUAUUUUCCGAAAUUAAUUAUUUAAUUAUUUAUUUUCCGGAAAUUCAACUGGGAUGGCCAGUGACCGAAAUUUUAUGCUGAUUGUCGUGGCGCAGUCUGUUUAUUUAAUUGAGCUCUAUUUCAUGCUGAAUUGAAUUAUUUGUGAAAGAGGGAAUCAUUCUUUAAUUGGAUGAUCAUUGGUUAUUAAUUGAAAAAUAACCGGGCAUCGAUUAAUAAUGCCAAAAAUAUUUGAGUGGACUACAGAAAAUGUGGGAGUUAUGGAAAGGAAAAUAUUAUAUUUUGGCUAAGGCCGACCGUGUCCCCACACACGACUAUUUUAUCGAGAAGGAUAACAGAUGGAAUGGAUUGAAUGGUCGGAUAGUAUAUUAUAUCAUCCUACGGGCUCUGAUAUGUCAGCUUAGCGAGAGCAAUAUACUGGUGUACUAUAUCAGACUACGGGCGAUAUGUCAGCUUAGCGCGAGCAGUACACUUUAUCAGCUUAGUGUGAGCAUCGGGGUUAUACUAUAUCAGCCUGCGGGCGAUAUGUCAGCUUAGCGAGAGCAGUAUACCGAUAUACUAUAUCAGCCUACGGGCGAUAUGUCAGCUUAGCGAGAGCAGUAUGCCUUAACCCUAUCAGCUUAGUGCGAGCUAUACUAUCUAUAUAUCAGCUUAGAGUGAGCAGUCCUGGACUACGGUCGGACUUAUAGAUAGUAUUGAAUGUGCCGACCAAGCAUGGUUCGUGAUGACAUGUAAUCGACUAGGUCGAUUGAUCAUUGCUUUGAUAUGAUGUUGUGAAUUGACUGAUAAAUUGGAAAUGACCAUGAGAUGGUCUGAUUGACAUGUAAUCGACUAGGUUGAUUUGAUCGAUGCUUUCGAUUAGUAAUGUGAUUACUUGGGUGCCUACUGGACUGUGGUAAUAUGCAGGUGGAAUCUGAGGCCCAGGUAAGUCCUCUAACUCGUGUUUUGCGUAGGCAACCCUAAGGUGUAUUAGUUUACUAAUCGAGUCUUAGGGGGUAGAACUUGCUGAGACGUGAUCUCAAUGGUUAUUGAAUAACCAUUUCAGGACCCUAAUGAGGAGCCUGAGGAGAAGGAACCUGAAGAGGAGAACCCUGAUGUGGAACCAAAUGAGGAGGAACAUUUUGGAGAAGAAGAUGACCACGGGGAGGAUCCUGAGUACGACCUGGAUGAGGACUGAGAUCCCAUCUUGUUUUGUCAGACCUUGAUAAUAUGUGGAGAAGUGUUUGAUCAGAUCCCUGUAAAUAGUAUUACAUUAUACAGUAUGAGGUGCUUUGUAUAAAAGAGUGGUUGUGAAUUUCAGUAUGGAAAUUAUGGCACUACUUUUCUAUCCCAUUGUUUUGUUGUCUGAGGAUUAAUAACUGCUUCCGCAUGUGCUUAAUAAAUGAAAG